rnacentral:lncRNA from 1 species
GCAACAACCAGAUUGAAGAAAUGAACAAGGGAUGCCUUUUUCCCUUCUGUAUGUCGUAAAAGAGUAACUUAGAAUGGUUGAAAGGACUGAUGAUAUUUCGGAUAAAUUGACAGGUUCCAAAAAAAUUGAUCAGUUCCCUUUUUUUCUACAGAAUAAAAGAUCGAACUUGAAGGAAAAUUUGCUGAAAAAUUUCUAUGCCUGAUCAAUUCCCUUUCUCUGCAGAAUAAAAAAAAUUGAAUUUCCUUGAAGGAAAAUUUGCUGAAAAAUUUCUCUGUCGCCAUUUGUUUGGUGGGUGCUAGAGCUUUUCCUUGAAGGAUAAAAAGUUACUUUAUUUUUCACUUUAUUUUGUUGAUUGAUACUGAUGGUGGUGCUUGUGAGGUGGUGCUUGCGUGCUUGUCCCUUUCGUAGGUUGUAACAUGAGGUCCUUUAGCUGCCUGUUUGUAUGUUGGUCUCUUGAGUUGUUUGUUGACGCCACACUGUACGUACUUCCUGAUAAAAAGAUUACACUUCGUUUGGUUCAGUUCAGAAUUGAGAGGUGCAGGAAACAGAAAAUAGGGCCUGUCUAUUAAUGUACUUAUCGGUUCAGCUAUUAAACUCGAACUCUAAUCUAUCCUUCAAUCCAAUGGAAAUAUUUGCCAACUUUUUAGUUUCUGUAAUGCCUUUAAACAUUUCUCCAUGAAACAGGUUCCAAAUCUUAACAUUGAUACUCUUCUUAAUCUGGGUUUACUUGCCACUCUUCCACUGUCAAUC